UACGUAGGGUGCAAGCGUUAAUCGGAAUUACUGGGCGUAAAGCGUGCGCAGGCGGUUGUGCAAGACCGAUGUGAAAUCCCCGGGCUUAACCUGGGAAUGGCAUUGGUGACUGCACGGCUAGAGUGUGUCAGAGGGGGGUAGAAUUCCACGUGUAGCAGUGAAAUGCGCAGAUAUCGGGAGGAACACCAGUAGCGAAGGCGGCACUCUGGGCCGGAACUGACGCUGAGGAGCGAAAGCGUGGGUAGCAAACAGG
rnacentral:rRNA from 1 species